rnacentral:rRNA from 1 species
UGGGGAAUAUUGGGCAAUGGGCGCAAGCCUGACCCAGCAACGCCGCGUGAAGGAAGAAGGCUUUCGGGUUGUAAACUUCUUUUGGCAGGGACGAAAAAAAUGACGGUACCUGCAGAAUAAGCUCCGGCUAACUACGUGCCAGCAGCCGCGGUAAUACGUAGGGAGCAAGCGUUAUCCGGAUUUACUGGGUGUAAAGGGCGCGUAGGCGGGAAUGCAAGUCAGAUGUGAAAUCUGGGGGCUCAACCCCCAAACUGCAUUUGAAACUGUAUUUCUUGAGUGAUGGAGAGGCAAGUGGAAUUCCUAGUGUAGCGGUGAAAUGCGUAGAUAUUAGGAGGAACGCCAGUGGCGAAGGCGACUUGCUGGACAUUAACUGACGCUGAGGCGCGAAAGCGUGGGGAGCAAACA